UCUCAUACCCCGGGGAGCCAGUGUGGCUGAGAGGGGCUGGUCACGCAGCCCGACCCGUUGAACCUGAACCCGUUAGCACGGGCGGAGGGAAGGGCAGUGCCUCGGCAA
rfam:Novosphingobium aromaticivorans DSM 12444, complete genome.